UAAAACCUAUAGAACUUUACUACAUCUCUUGAUUGCAAAUCAAGCGCUUUAAUUAAGCUAAAGCCUC
rnacentral:tRNA from 1 species